rnacentral:ncRNA from 1 species
GACUCGCAGGAGAGAGGAGGCCAUGAAAAGCCAUCCCGCCGAAGGCGCAAACUCCCAUAAUCGCUCAGGUCACCUUACUGCA